AAAGCAUGAAAGGCUUCCGACCAACCACAAGCUUAACAGAGGGCCGUACGUGCCAAGAUGGUGAGCUGGUAUAAACAUUUGGCUCUUUGGAACCAGAAAAUAAAAAUUCACACCUCAGCUUCGCUCCUUCCCGGCCACGUGACCUGUAUUAUUUAUGGAUAGGAAGUCCGUGAUGAGGAAUCGCAGAGAGCAUGGCCCCACCCUCCACGCCUGACCCCCAGGAACAGAAAUUGCGAGCACAGCUGGAGGAGGAAAAGAGCAGGUACAAAACCACCUUCAUGCGCCUGAAAGCCCUCAAGGUGGAGAUUGAGCACCUGCAGCUGCUCAUGGACAAAGCCAAGCUCAAGCUGCAGAAGGAGUUCGAAGCCUGGUGGGCAGAGGAGGCCAGCAGCCUGCAGGUGAGCU
rnacentral:lncRNA from 1 species